UAGGGAAUCUUCCACAAUGGACGCAAGUCUGAUGGAGCAACGCCGCGUGAGUGAAGAAGGGUUUCGGGUUGUAAAGUACUUUCAGCGGGGAGGAAGGCGAUGCGGUUAAUAACCGCGUCGAUUGACGUUACCCGCAGAAGAAGCACCGGCUAACUCCGUGCCCG
rnacentral:rRNA from 1 species